UAAAUCAGAACGGCAGUAAGGUAAGAGCCCCCAGGGAUUCCAGGCCCCCUCCACUGGGCAGCCCACGGGGGGGGGCACCAUGGGCGUCUCGCAUUCUUCCAAGGAGGCGUGGGAACGCGAGAGCAGGAGCGACUUCUGGUGGACGCAGAUCCAGGAGGGGUUCCGGAGCCAGAGCGACUUCAACUGGGACCAGAUCAAGCAGCUGCACCAGAGGUUCCGGCUGCUGAGCGGAGACCAGCCCACCAUCCGGCCCGAGAACUUCGACUACGUCCUGGACCUGGAGUUCAACCCGAUCCGCUCCAGGAUCGUCCGCGCCUUCUUCGACAACCGGAACCUGGGCAAGGGGACCAGCGGCCUGGCGGAGGAGAUUGGCUUCGAGGACUUCCUGACCAUCAUCUCCUACUUCAAGCCGCUGCGCUCGCACUUCAGCAAGGAGGAGGCGGAGCUGUACCGUCGGGAGAAGCUGCGCUUCCUCUUCCACAUGUACGACGAGGACGGCGACGGGGUCAUCACGCUGCAGGAGUACCGCAGGGUGGUGGAGGACCUGCUGUCGGCGAACCCGCAGGUGGAGCGCGCCUGGGUGCGCUCCAUCGCCAACUCCAUCGCGUGCCGCGCCUUGAAGGAGGCGGCCAGGGUGUCCGGCCAUCCGCGGCAGGAGGACCAGCCCUACCAGGCCAUCACCUUCGAGGACUUCGUCAAGACCUGGCAGGGCAUCGACUUGGAGGUCAAGAUGCGAGUCAACUUCCUGAACCAAGAAGCCGCGGCCUUGUGACAGUGACCCGCGGGGCCGUGCCCACCCCCAGCCCCACGGGAGAACGCCGUGAGCCCGGCAGCAGCUACCGGGGGGAAGACACAAGUUGCUCUAUCAACUACCAACUGAAGUACACCCCCAGCCCCACAUCUCUCUGUCAGUGAUUGGCCAUGCAUGAAGGGCUGAUUUGGAGUCAAGAUACGAGACAAACGGUGUGGUUUCGAAACGGAACAGUUUUGAACUAAAUCCAAAGGGGGAAAACAAAAUAAAACCCUUGACCAUGAGACAUCCACUUUCAGAAAUAACGGGAAGAAAAAAAAAAGCAAAUUCAGAAGAGAAAUGCUUUUACCCCGCUGCAAAGAAACCUCAAUAGGGAGAAGUCCUCUGUGUAAGGAGCGAAGGAAGGUUCGUAAGGCCGUGACACAAACGUGUACAGCGUGGGAAACUCACGGCUAAAACAUACUUGAAUGUAAGUGCCGUGGGACAUCCUUACAACUGUUCAUCGAGACUUCAUAUUGGCGGGAAGCCUUAGGAAUGUGGACUGUGGAGAGGCUGAGGUCGGAUCUGUCAUCUUACUACCAGAAAAUUCAUAUUGAUCCAAAAAAAACCAUCCUAGGAAUGUAAGGAACAUGGGAGGGCCUUGGUAAAUAAACAUGAAAUAAUUCAUACAGGCGAGGAACCUCACCAACGUCAAGAAUGUGGGCGAGGCUUCCAUUACCGCAAUGGACUUACACAGCGCUGGAAAACCGUACUGAUAAGAAACCUUACGGAUGUGAAACUACGUGGAAAGGCUUCCUGUUGGGGUCACCAACUCGCUUGACAUCACAGUUCACGCUGGCAAGAAACUAUGAGUGGAUAUAAGGAAUUCGGGGAGGCCUUAACUGUGAGUUUGUGCAAUAUAAAAAAAAAUCCAUACUGGCAAGUAACGCGAUGAAUGUGAGGAACGUAAGGUCUUUAGCUGUGGUUGAAGACAUGUUAAGAUCACCAGAAAGAUCACGCCAGUGAGAAACUCUGGAUACAAAGACUGUGGUGGGGGAGGGGGCUCGGGCAGUCGCCAUUACCUGAUAGUGACACCAGCUACCUCACACUGGGGAGAAACCCUAUCAAUGUCAGGAACUCGGGAGGCCUGUGAUUGAAGAUCAAGUCUUGUGCUGCGUAGUGAAAGACCUGAGGUUAUCAGGCUUCAGGCUGAAUACCCCGGUGACGUCCCGAGCUCAAUAACCAGACAGUUGGAUGCAAACCGCGAGAGGUUUAUUGUUCACACAGGCAUCUGUGGGCGAUUCAGCAGCUUGGCUAACUGAAUGUGCCGGGCUCUAAGACAGUUUUCUUUUUAUAUACAUACUUUUGGCAAGCAAAGUAAUAGGGGUAUUGUAAGGAGUGGAGCUACUGCA